UCAAACUUGGUCAUUUAGAGGAAGUAAAAGUCGUAACAAGGUUUCCGUAGGUGAACCUGCGGAAGGAUCAUUAUUGAAUCGCAAGGAUGCUCUUUUUAGAGGUCCGACCUUUUCAUUUUCUACACUGUGCACACACUGUUUUUUCACACAUUUUAUAAUUCUUCAGUAAUAAGAAUGUGAUUUGCUCGUAAGAGUAAUAACUCAUUAUAAAACUUUCAGCAACGGAUCUCUUGGCUCUCGCAUCGAUGAAGAACGCAGC
rnacentral:misc_RNA from 1 species